AUUGAACGCUGGCGGCAUGCCUUACACAUGCAAGUCGAACGGCAGCGGGGGAGAAGCUUGCUUUUCCUGCCGGCGAGUGGCGAACGGGUGAGUAAUACAUCGGAACGUGCCCUGUAGUGGGGGAUAACUAGUCGAAAGAUUAGCUAAUACCGCAUACGACCUGAGGGGGAAAGUGGGGGACCGCAAGGCCUCAAGCUAUCGGAGCGGCCGAUGUCUGAUCAGCUAGUUGGUGGGGUAAAGGCCGACCAAGGCUACGAUCAGUAGCUGGUCUGAGAGGACGAUCAGCCACACUGGGACUGAGACACGGCCCAGACUCCUACGGGAGGCAGCAGUGGGGAAUUUUGGACAUUGGGCGAAAGCCUGAUCCAGCAAUGCCGCGUGUGUGAAGAAGGCCUUCGGGUUGUAAAGCACUUUUGUCCGGAAAGAAAUGGCUCUGGUUAAUACCUGGGGUCGAUGACGGUACCGGAAGAAUAAGGACCGGCUAACUACGUGCCAGCCGCCGCCGUAA
rnacentral:rRNA from 1 species